rnacentral:rRNA from 1 species
UACAGAGGUCUCAAGCGUUGUUCGGAUUCAUUGGGCGUAAAGGGUGCGUAGGUGGCGCCAUAAGUCAGGUGUGAAAUCUCGGGGCUCAACCCCGAAACUGCACUUGAUACUGUGGCGCUCGAGUACUGGAGAGGAGAUUGGAAUUUACGGUGUAGCAGUGAAAUGCGUAGAUAUCGUAAGGAAGACCAGUGGCGAAGGCGAAUCUCUGGACAGUUACUGACACUGAGGCACGAAGGCCAGGGGAGCAAACGGG